GAAUUUAAUAUAUUAUUUAAAUUAAUUAUUUAGUUAGUUGAAAAAUUUUAUAUUUAUAUUUUGUUGGGAGGAUAUUUAAAUUUUAUAAACUUUAAGUUUAAAUAAAAACAUAAAUUAAUGAAAAAUAAAUGAAUAAUAAUUUAAUUAAAUUUUUUUAAUAUUAUUUUAGAAUUAAUUACCUUAGGGAUAACAGCGUAAUAUUUUUGGAAAGAUCAUAUUAAUAUAAGUGUUUGC
rnacentral:rRNA from 1 species